GGUCAGGUGAGGGUAGGGAGCAGGUGAUGGCCUCUAAACCUUAACACGAAAAAGGUCUGUUUUUAUCUUGACCCCGUCAACCCGGGUCAGACUUGUUUGUGAGAGGUAGACUAGUUCAGGUGAGGGGUACACUAGGUCAGGUGAGGGUAGACUAGUCCAGGUGAGGGUAGACGAGGUCAGGUGAGGGUAGACUAGUCCAGGUGAGGGUACACUAGGUCAGGUGAGGGUAGACGAGGCCAGGUGAGGGUAGACGAGGCCAGGUGAGGGUAGACGAGGUCAGGUGAGGGUAGACGAGGCCAGGUGAGGGUAGACGAGGUCAGGUGAGGGUAGACGAGGUCAGGUGAGGGUAGACGAGGUCAGGUGAGGUAGAGAGCCCGGUGGUCCUACCAGGUCGAUGGUCUUGGCCUUCUUCUUGGAGCUGUCGUCGCACCAGGUCUCGCACCACAGCCACUCCUGAGGGAGGGACUUGAUGGGCACCUGGUGGAUCAUGUUGUUGGGGAGGUCCUGGGGGGGGGGGGGGGAGUUACAGCAUCAAUACACACAUCACGUCCUGGUGAGGUAGAGAGACAUCCCUGGUCCAGGCUAGAGGGACAGACAGGCAAGCAGAAAGACAGACCUGGUCCAGGGUAGAGAGACAGACCUGGUCCAGGUCAGAGAGACAGACCUGGUCGAGGUCAGAGAGACAGACCUGGUCGAGGUCAGAGAGACAGACCUGGUCGAGGUUGGAGAGGCUGUUGGGGUCCUGGCUGAGGCCCUGGUACUGCCCUCUGA